rnacentral:rRNA from 1 species
UACGUAGGGUGCAAGCGUUGUCCGGAAUUAUUGGGCGUAAAGAGCUCGUAGGCGGUUUGUUGCGUCGGCUGUGAAAUCCCGAGGCUCAACCUCGGGUCUGCAGUCGAUACGAGCAAACUAGAGUGUUGCAGGGGAGACUGGAAUUCCUGGUGUAGCGGUGAAAUGCGCAGAUAUCAGGAGGAACACCGGUGGCGAAGGCGGGUCUCUGGACAGUUCCUGACGCUGAGGCACGAAAGCCAGGGGAGCAAACGGG